CCUACGGGCGGCAGCAGUGGGGAAUAUUGGGCAAUGGGCGCAAGCCUGACCCAGCAACGCCGCGUGAAGGAAGAAGGCUUUCGGGUUGUAAACUUCUUUUCUCAGGGACGAAGCAAGUGACGGUACCUGAGGAAUAAGCCACGGCUAACUACGUGCCAGCAGCCGGGGUAAUACGUAGGUGGCAAGCGUUAUCCGGAUUUACUGGGUGGAAAUGGCCUGUAGGGGGGAAAGCAAGUCAGAUGUGAAAACCAUGGGCUCAACCUGUGGCCUGCAUUGGAAACUGUUUUUCUUGAGUGCUGGAGAGGCAGACGGAAUUCCUAGUGUAGCGGUGAAAUGCGUAGAUAGUAGGAGGAACACCAGUGGCGAAGGCGGUCUGCUGGACAGCAACUGACGCUGAGGCGCGAAAGCGUGGGGAGCAAACAGGAUUAGAUACCCCUGUAGUC
rnacentral:rRNA from 1 species